AUAUUUUUCCAGGAUUCUUCUUUGCAUCCCAUACACAUAGACGGAGUGGGAGGCUGCCGCAGCGGUGCUGGACUUGGAGCCCAAGCCAUCCGCUGCCGCCAACAGGUUGCACGUAUUCGCGGAAAUCACCAAAACUGUGAUGUCUGUAUAGAAAAUCAGUGUUUUCUUGGUUCAUAUCCUAUCUGAAACUUGGAAUGUUGAUUGUUAGGCACAACUUAACUUUCACAGUAGCCUACAUAUUCUUCUGCUCACAAACAAGGCAAAACACGCACCAUAGAAUGCUGGGAGAACAUUGAUUUAUUUUGCUCUUCGUACUUUUAUUAGAUAAGCCACAUUGCAAGGAGAAUAUGGAUUUAUGUUGCUCUUCCUACUAUUAUUAGAUAGGCCACAUUCUUUUUGUAUGAUUCAUGCAUUUGUUGCUAACAGUAUGGUUAUGUAAAUUCAACAUUGAUGUUUAAUGUUAUUACAUGAUUUACACAAAGCUGGUAUUCAUAUUACAUGAGAUGUUGCAGGUGCUGACAGUAUGAUGCCUUCAGAAUUGGCUCUCAGAACUUUCAACCAAGAUUAGAGCUAGCAUACAGUUUGCAGUUUAUAGUCGUACUCAUACUCAAUGAGUCCCUACCUCGGCUUCUAGGCAAGAUAUUCUUUAAUUUUAGGUAAGCUCUAAUUUGUAAAGCAUUAUUGCAGCUUUUAGAAACUCUGAAUCUCAGAUUUAUUGAGAUAUUGAAAUCCCAGUUUGAGAUUCAUCGAGAUAAGGAGAUCUUAUUCGACCAUGUAAUUUAAAUCUUAUUCCAAUGAGUAUUGUUGAUUGUCGUUUUUAACAAUAUUACUCAACUUAUGGUCACUUCCCUAUGUUUAGUUCAACGCCAUUCUUUUCUCUUAUUCGUUUUGGUAAAAAGAAAUCUCUCACUAUCAAAUGUAUUAUGUCAUCCUUUUUUGCUCAGCAGCAGUAAAUUUCAUAGAGGUGAUGUAAUAUAUAAUGUCAUUAUUGAUGUAGAAGUUGCAGAAGUGUAAUGCUGACUCUACACGAAUGAUUAUUAUCCCUACAUGCAUAACAUAUUAUAAAGACAUCUUCCUAUGUGCCCCUUUUGUAAGGAUGCAUGCUGACGUGUGCACAUCGUUUCGAGCUUGUUUUGGUGCAUCUUUUAUCCUGCUUCAGCUGGUUAGCCUGAAUCCUCUUUUCUCCUGUUUCAGUUGAUUAGCAACCAGUAUUGUUCAGGAAUUUUGAGUGGCACACAUCCUGGUCUGGUGAGCCGAUGACCAGACAUCAUUUGUCAAGGUUUGUGCACAUUGAAAACUCUUGCUGUGGAUAUGAAUGGUGUUCAUCGCAAACUGAUGUAGCUUCUUAAUAUGAGUACUAUAUUAGAUUGAUCCUUUUGAAUUAAGUUGAUGUAAAAUUAUUUCUUCAACCCGUGCUCUCUCAGCCUCUUCUCUCUUUUUUCAUUGUAACUUAUAUAUACAUAGGGAGCUGACCUUCAUGCACCACUCAGGCACCACAUCUGGCCACUAACAUCACGUCUAGGCACUAGCUCACUCCCACUCACACAACUAACUCCAUGCACUUAGUAAUCCCUACAUGCAUGCAUGUCCACUUGCACAGCUCCACUCAACGGCCACACACCUGGUCAGCGGCCAUGUAGAUAACAAACUAACUAACUUGCCUAUUCUCCUCUAGCUAUUCCAGUCGUCAAGCGCCUUGCCGCUUCACAUGGCGUGCUACAUCACACAGCACCGCGGCUUCACGCCGCCAUCGGCAUCUCACCAUGCUCGCCGCAUCGCACGGCAGCCUGGUAUCUCGCCUCCUCCAUGCACUUGAUUUAAGCUUCGACGACUAGAUACUCCUUUACCAUCUAUGUUACAUGCCUAACGAAAGCAAACUAAGUAUGCAGAUACAAAAUAUAAAGAUUAGUGCGAACAAUCUCAACCGAGGUUCAACGUUAGUGUUAACACAUGAUUAUUGAAUUCUCUGUAUUUAUUACUAUUUGUAUUUUUGGGAAUGUGAUGAUCCUGUAUGUUGUUAUUUUGGCACUGUAGUAUAGUUUCUAAUAGUGUAUUAUAAUUUAGAAUUGAUUAACGUUUGCAGGAAGCAAAAAGGACUACACUCACAAGGAACCAUGAAGCCAACGAUCCACGUCAACUAGAUGUUUUAGCUUUCAUUUUGUACAACUGAUGUCUCAUACUUGCAUCUUUUGGUUGUCCUUUUGUAAACCUGAUUAUGGUUUCUUGGUGGUUUUGUUUAGAACAGGUUGAAGUGUAUGUAUGUGGCAAUUAGUUAAUGGAAUAAAAAAUGUUUGGUGCUCCCGAUUUGAGCUUGACGUAUGGUGUUUGGGUGAUUAUGCUUAGAACACAUGAACUAUAUGUAUGUGACAAUCAGUACCAUAUGUUAAUUAAAGUUGUGGUUGGCUAAAAAA
rnacentral:lncRNA from 1 species